UACGGAGGGUGCAAACGUUGCUCGGAAUCAUUGGGCGUAAAGCGCACGUAGGCGGCUCGUUAAGUCGGAUGUGAAAGCCCCGGGCUCAACCUAGGAAGUGCAUUCGAAACUGCGAGGCUGGAGUCCUGGAGAGGAAGGCGGAAUUCUCGGUGUAGAGGUGAAAUUCGUAGAUAUCGAGAGGAACACCGGUGGCGAAGGCGGCCUUCUGGACAGUGACUGACGCUGAGACGCGAAAGCGUGGGGAGCAAACAGG
rnacentral:rRNA from 1 species